rnacentral:rRNA from 1 species
GCGGACGGGUGAGUAACACGUGGAUAACCUACCUAUAAGACUGGGAUAACUUCGGGAAACCGGAGCUAAUACCGGAUAAUAUUUUGAACCGCAUGGUUCAAAAGUGAAAGACGGUCUUGCUGUCACUUAUAGAUGGAUCCGCGCUGCAUUAGCUAGUUGGUAAGGUAACGGCUUACCAAGGCAACGAUGCAUAGCCGACCUGAGAGGGUGAUCGGCCACACUGGAACUGAGACACGGUCCAGACUCCUACGGGAGGCAGCAGUAGGGAAUCUUCCGCAAUGGGCGAAAGCCUGACGGAGCAACGCCGCGUGAGUGAUGAAGGUCUUCGGAUCGUAAAACUCUGUUAUUAGGGAAGAACAUAUGUGUAAGUAACUGUGCACAUCUUGACGGUACCUAAUCAGAAAGCCACGGCUAACUACGUGCCAGCAGCCGCGGUAAUACGUAGGUGGCAAGCGUUAUCCGGAAUUAUUGGGCGUAAAGCGCGCGUAGGCGGUUUUUUAAGUCUGAUGUGAAAGCCCACGGCUCAACCGUGGAGGGUCAUUGGAAACUGGAAAACUUGAGUGCAGAAGAGGAAAGUGGAAUUCCAUGUGUAGCGGUGAAAUGCGCAGAGAUAUGGAGGAACACCAGUGGCGAAGGCGACUUUCUGGUCUGUAACUGACGCUGAUGUGCGAAAGCGUGGGGAUCAAACAGGAUUAGAUACCCUGGUAGUCCACGCCGUAAACGAUGAGUGCUAAGUGUUAGGGGGUUUCCGCCCCUUAGUGCUGCAGCUAACGCAUUAAGCACUCCGCCUGGGGAGUACGACCGCAAGGUUGAAACUCAAAGGAAUUGACGGGGACCCGCACAAGCGGUGGAGCAUGUGGUUUAAUUCGAAGCAACGCGAAGAACCUUACCAAAUCUUGACAUCCUUUGACAACUCUAGAGAUAGAGCUUUCCCCUUCGGGGGACAAAGUGACAGGUGGUGCAUGGUUGUCGUCAGCUCGUGUCGUGAGAUGUUGGGUUAAGUCCCGCAACGAGCGCAACCCUUAAGCUUAGUUGCCAUCAUUAAGUUGGGCACUCUAAGUUGACUGCCGGUGACAAACCGGAGGAAGGUGGGGAUGACGUCAAAUCAUCAUGCCCCUUAUGAUUUGGGCUACACACGUGCUACAAUGGACA